rnacentral:rRNA from 1 species
UGGCGGACGGGUGAGUAAUGUCUGGGAAACUGCCUGAUGGAGGGGGGUAACUACUGGAAACGGUAGCUAAUACCGCAUAACGUCGCAAGACCAAAGAGGGGGACCUUAGGGCCUCUUGCCAUCGGAUGUGCCCAGAUGGGAUUAGCUUGUUGGUGGGGUAACGGCUCACCAAGGCGACGAUCCCUAGCUGGUCUGAGAGGAUGACCAGCCACACUGGGACUGAGACACGGUCCAG